UGGGGAAUAUUGGACAAUGGGGGCAACCCUGAUCCAGCAAUGCCGCGUGUGUGAAGAAGGCCUUAGGGUUGUAAAGCACUUUCACAGGUGACGAUGAUGACGGUAACCUGAGAAGAAGCCCCGGCUAACUCCGUGCCAGCAGCCGCGGUAAUACGGAGGGGGCGAGCGUUGUUCGGAAUUACUGGGCGUAAAGGGCGUGUAGGCGGUUUGUUAAGUUAGGCGUGAAAGCCCCGGGCUCAACCUGGGAUGUGCGCUUAAAACUGGCAGACUUGAGACCGGGAGAGGGUAGUGGAAUUUCCAGUGUAGAGGUGAAAUUCGUAGAUAUUGGAAAGAACACCAGUGGCGAAGGC
rnacentral:rRNA from 1 species